rnacentral:lncRNA from 1 species
UGGCUGUGGGGCAGGCCAGUGGCUGCAGCUCCAAUUUGACCCCUAGACUGGGAACUUCCAUGUGCCGCGAGUACAGCCCUCAAAAGACAGGUAAAAAAAAAAAAAAAAAAAAAUGAGUUGCAGAUAAAAGAGAAAAGCCCAUAUAGAGAGGAGAAGGAGGCUUUAAGGUUGGGCAAUAGCCCUAUUAUGCUAGGAAGUGAAAAACUCUGUGCUCUGCAGUCAAUGUACAGAACCCACCAGUUCUGUUGAUUUUAUCAUUAGACUGAAACUAACCCUAACCUCCAACUCAUGGAAACUAUUUGCAUCAAGUCAUUCUCCACUGAACAGAUAUUUCGGUUGCCAUGCUAAGACAAGGAAGAAAUAUCAGAAUCCAAGUGGAGCUGCUAACCACCCAUUAAAAUCUUAGUGCCUCCGUUGAAUCUUCCUGUGACUGAACUUGCAGAUUAUCAGACUCACACAGGGUUUUCAUUCCUCAAAGAGGAUUUAUGAUACAAUCUCCUUCUAUCCUAACUGGCCAGUGUCCAAUUCCAAAUGGAAUAUUCAAAAUUGAAGACACAGUAGAGGAAUAAUUAUAAAUUACAGAAAAUAAAAUAUCUGCUGUCUUUAUCUCUGAAGAAACAAAUAUUCAUCUCCUAAGGGACAAAACAAUCAGAAUGUUCUCUAGAAUAUAAUCAGCUUAAACCUUGCAUUCAGACUUGGCACAGUGGAAAUCUCCUCAGGUCUGACUUUCUAUGCGUGGUCAGUGGACCAGGAGCACUGGUAUUACCUGGGAGCUUGUUAGAAAUACUGACUCCCUGAUCCCAUCCCAGACCUACUAAAUUAGGAUCUUCAGUUUUAUAAAAUUCCCCGGUGAUGACUAUGCAUACAGAUAUUAGGAAGCAUUAUUCCAGAAGACUAAAAAGCAAGCUCAGGGCCUACCUUGGGGACGGUGAAGAGCUGUGGAAGACACAAGGCAGGAGUGGGGUGUCUAACCCUCUCCCACCUCCUCAACACCAGAACAGUUUAGCUUUGGUCAGAUUUUUGUAAGUGUUGAUGUUCCAUGUUAAACUUCUAAAAUGUAAUCUCUUGCUUACGGGAAAUUUGAAAGCCAUAACUUAGUGUGGCAAAAAGAACUAUGGUGAAUCCAAAAGCACCCUAGAGUGUUUCCCAACCUGCAGUCUGGGGUUCUUGGUGGAUAGAUCCAUGGAAAGACAUAGAUAGAGAUAGAGAUAGGGAUAGGGAUAGGGAUAGGGAUAGGGAUACAGAUAGAGAUAGAGAUAGAGAUACCUGUUUGGUCUGGACCUUUAAUUCUUAGUAUCUUAUACUAAUUUUAAAAUCUUUGUAGAUGCUAUUAAGACUAAUAAAACAGAUUCAUUUGAAAGUAUAAAUUUAAAAAGGAAUAAAAUAGGAGCUAAAGAAAGCUUGAUAAUGGUCAGCAAAUGGAGCAACAGAGAAGGAGGAACGCUAACUCAAAUCUAAAUUGCAGAACCCCAGAGGAAGAAAGGUUGUCCACCUGAUGAUGGUGAAUGUCAGUAAACAGUCAAAGAGAAGCAGGAAAAAAAUGUGUUCUAGGAGAUGCUGCAAUGUGACUUUCAGGCACUUCUUUAGCUGUCGGUUUAUUUGCCUGUCACAGGAAGCAGUUUGGUAGGUUAUGUCAUUUUAUAGCCAUAAUAACGUUCUGAGCCAAACCAGCUGCCUCAGCCUGUUGCUGUGACCUCAAAUGCAACAGAUGAGGACUGAGAAAAGAACAUUGGAUUUGGCAAUUAGGAGGUUAUUGGUGACCAUGGAGAGAUCAGCUUUAAUUGAGUAAUAAGGAUGAACACCAAACUGCUGUGGGGUGAGACGAUGGCAAAUUUAGAUGCUCUUUCACUCUAAAGAAAAGUUUGCUAAGACAGAGGGGGAAAAAGUAAUUGAAGAGAUACUAUAUUAGGGGUGAACUUUUUUAAGGCGGCAGAAAACUAAGCAAAAUUUUAAACUGAGGAAAACAAAAACAAUAGAAAUAUUGAGGCAUAAAAAAUAAGAGAGUUUAUAUGGAACUAGUUCUCACAGGAGAUUCAAUGACAUGAGUGGAAAGAACAGAAUUGUUUCUUCACUAUUCAAUAUACGCAAACUAUUUUACUAUGAAAUGUUUUAACAUACAGUGAAACUGAAAGAAUUUUUCAGUGAAUAUCUACAUACUCACCACUAUUUCUACUAUAAUUUUACCAUUUUUACGGUCUGUCCAUCUUUCUACCCUUCAAUUCUUCCAUUUCUUUUUGAUACAUUUCAAAGUAAAUUGCUUUCCACUAAAAGCUGUAUCAUGAAUUUUAAGGAUUAGAGUUCAGUAUUUGUUUACAAUAUUUUUCUUUUGAGGUAAAAUGUAUAUGUAAUGAAAUGCAAAAUCUCAUGUGUACAUUUGCUGAGUUUUGACAUACGCAGAUGUCUUCAUAACAAAACACUUAUCAAAUAUAGAACUUUCACAUCAUUCCAGGUUCCUUCAUGUCUAUUCCCAGUCAAUUCUCCUAAACACCCCCAGAGUCAACCACUGUUGUAAAGCUUUGAUGUUUUCCCAAGUAGAUUUUAUGUGCCUUUCUAAAACCUCAUAUAAAUGGGAGAGCACAGUGUUGAUUUGCAUAGGCCUUCUCUGAUUAAUGCUUCUGAAAGUCAUUUAUAUUGCUGAAUAGAUCAGUAAUAUAUUCCUCUUUAUUGCUGAGUAUUAUUCCCUUAUUUAGCCAUCCUCUGAGAGACAGACACUAGUACAACUAGAGCUGCUGUCAACAUUUUUGUAAAAUUCUUUUUGGAAACCUAUAUUUUCAUGUAUCCUGGGAAAAUAUUUAAGAGCGGAACUGCUGGGUUUUAGGGUAGUUGUAUGUUCAAAGAAAUUGGCAUAGUCUUUCUCAAAGUAAAUUACCAUUUUACACUCUCACCAAUAAUGUAUAAGAGCUUCACUUUCUCCAAAUCCUCCCCAUUAUUUGACAUUUUUGGUUUUGCUGUUCAGCUGGGUGUACAGGAGUAUCCCACUGUUCUGACAAUUUGGUGUUUAUUUUUUGGUGUCAGAAGAUAACCGCUCAUAACACUCAUAUAAAACAAUAAAAAUAGCACUUUUUUGCUGUUUUUUUUUUUUUUUUUUUUUGUAUGUUUACACAGCAUAUGGAAAUUCCCAGGCUAGAGGUUAAAUCAGAGCUGCAGCUGCUAGCCUAUGCCACAGCCACAGCAAUGAGGACCCAAGCCAUGCCUGCAACCUCACCUCAGUUCACCAAUGCCAGAUCCUUAACCCACAGAGCAAAGCCCGGGUUCAGACUCCCAUCCUCAUGGAUACCUAGUCAGGUUUUUAACACAAUGAGCCACAUCAGGAACUCCUAUAGUCUAUAAAUUUGUCUCCUCACCUAGCAUAAACUCCUUAUAGACAGGGGCCAUGUUGCAUUACUCUUUAUUUUUGCACUAGCAUUUAGCCCAGUGACUGUGUUCAAUAAAUGCUGGCUUAAUUUAAUUGAAUCAAAAAUGUUCCUGCUGGCAAUUCUAUCAGUGAAGAUACCAGAAUGGAAGUUUUUCUCUCACCUUCUCUUCGUUUUUUUAGGGGUUCAGUUGGCCAGUGGCAGUAUGAGUACACAGAAGAAUGACAGUCACAGUGGGGGAAAAACAGCAUGGUAUAUUCCCUCUGCAGACAGAUAGGGGCUGGCAAUCUACCCUGCCUAAUAUUUAGACAUAUAUUGCAGACCAAAACCUUGCAUAUAAGAUGAAAGUGUCAUGUUGAUUUUAUCAAUUUUAUUUCAGCCAUCUGGACUUUUGCUAAUAGAUACUACAGACUAUUGUGGUCAAUAGUCAGAAAGUAAAACAUAACUUCCAUGGAAUAACAAAGGGUAUUUUACUUCCUUAAGAACAGCAUGAAGCUGUAUACUAAAGGCUGUUUUACUUGUAUGCAGUAAUUCCCUGGAGAUGUAAUAAAAUUCUUGAAGUUUAUUAUUGCUAUAGUGACAUAUUAAACACACACAUACACAAUCUACACAGCUCUGGCUCAGAAGCAUCCUAAAAUAGUCGUGUACCAUGCUGCUGAAUUCAUUCAUGAGACUGAAGCAUUUUUGGUCAAUUCACUUCCAAGAGCAUUUGGAUGAAUAGCAAACUUCAUAAAAAGCUAUAAAGAUGAUAAAUACAGAAUGAUUUGUGAAAUUACAAUACAUCAAGAAAUUACUAUGACAAUGAAAUUCAUGGUAUGUCAGAAACAUUUUUAAGGAAAAAUAUUAUUAUUGGCAUCAGACUAAACAUUUUUUAGUCCACUUUACACUAGAACAGUAUUUUUCAAGCACCUCCUAGAUAUUAAUAUACAGCUAGGUACCAAUAUCUUAUAUAUGCCUUUCAGAAUAUGAUGUCUAAGAAAGAAGCAACUUUGCAUAUUAUAGUGUUUUUGAUGUUUUUUUCUCAUGCCUCUGCUAAGAUCUGAAAGACGAAGCUUUUCUCUUUUUUUUUUUUUUUUUUUUUUUGUCUUUUUAUUUUUUAGGGCUACACCCGUGGCAUACGGAGGUUCCCAGGCUGGGCAGCAAAUCGGAGCUGCAGCCACCAGCCACAGCCACAGCCAUGCGGGAUCUGAGCCAUGUCUGUGACCUACACCACAGCUCACGGCAACAUCAGGUCUUUAACCCACUGAGCAAGGCCAGGGAUUGAACCUGCAUCCUCAUGGAUGCUAGUCAGAUUUGUUUCCAUCAAGCCACGAUAGGAACUCCUGAAAGAUGAAGCUUUAAUCAGGAAAGGGGAAAGUGGUGAUGAAAAAAUACUGAAUGUCUACUGUGGCAGAAUCUGUAGUUGUCCACAAAAAGUUUUCUCUUCCUGGAAUGGUCUCUAUGAGACUGUUGAUGAGACAAGGGCUAAAUGUGGUAGCCCUCCAUAUUUCCAAGAAUAACCAGAUAUUGAUUCUCAGCAGAGGAAUGUGAAUGAAAGUGAUGUGUGCUACCUCCAGGUGAGGACUUAUAAAGAGAAGAUAAGACAUCUCCAGUGUCUUCUCUUCCCUAGACCUGAGUGUAGGGGAUUCCAAGGCCCUAGAGUUGUACAGCUACAAAGUGUAAGAAGCAAAUUGCCCAAACACGAGCAAGGAAAGCAGCCUCCUGAGCAAGAACACAUGCCUUGGAAGGUUAUAUCAGAGAGGACUUUCAUUUAGUUAAGUUCCUGAAGUUUUACCAAUUAUAAAACCAGUUACACCUCAGUGACUCCAAUAAUUUGACCAAGAGCACCCAGCUAAGAAAAAAAGGGGGAGAUUAGGAUUUUGACCCAGAGUUGCCUCGCUCCAAAUUUAGACUCUACCAAUUUUCCCAUAUAUCCCUGUAAAUCUUAACACAAAUUUUCCACAAGUGUUAACAAGCUUUAGAGAUAGGUCAGUCCAAACUUGCUAAUUUUACAAAAGAAAACUGUAGUAUGUGAUUUAACUAAGGUCACAUGGGUCUUUAAGCAACAAGUUUGGGAAAGUAAUCCAAUAUUUCCUCUCACUAUACUAUAAUAUAGAAGUGAGCAAUGUUUAUUAAAAAAUGCUCAACUCAUACAACAGUUAUAUAAGGAACAAAUGCUCAUUCUAUUUAGAACAUAUCCCUUACUUCAUCACAAAAACUUUGCCAUUGCUUAUUCAUCUAGGAUAGGAGGAGCUAUACGUAUAUACUUUCUCUUCCUGUUUAUCUUUCGUGUCUUCUGUUUUCUGUAUUUGGAAAUCUUCAACUCAUCUGAGUCAGUCACUUUUUGCCACUAUGUUUUAAUAAUGUCAUGCAUAAAAUACUAUAGAGUAAAAACAAAGUUCUUCAGCACAAUUCUAAGUUGUAGACACUAGACAAAAAGUUUAUGGUUCUUAUAAACUUAUUUUACACAUAAGGAAAUUGAAGUUUAGAGAUUUGAAUUUUUCUAAAUGUAUAAAACUAAUUAUUAACAAAGCUAAAAUUAUACAUAAGUAAUAUCUGCCUUUUUUUGCACUUAACGUUCUCAUGUGAAAAAUAAAAUACUAAUUAUUUACCCUUUUUGAUAACAUAACUACACUGAAGUCAAAAUCAAGAAAUUAAGAAAAAUAAUAGGGCAGUGAUUGUCAAUUUAGAUGUUCUCCAUGAUAAGGAGGAGGCAAUGGUAAUCAAAGAAAGUGUGAGAAAAAAAUAUGUAAAAUUUGCAUUAAUAUUCACAAAUAAAUGUUCAGUAUAAAACUACUUCCACUACUAACAUUUCAAAUAACAACUAUUUUUAUUACAUUCAUGAUUGUGUUGGGUGUAAAGUCUUUUCAAGGCUACUAAAAGAAGGCUUUGUUCUAGCUACUAGAAAGUAUAAGCCUCAUUUUUUUUCUUUCUCCCCACACAAUUUCCAUGAAGUACCAUCAAAACAGUGUUUCAGAAAGAACGAAACGUCCCACAAAACUCUUGCUCACUGUGCAAUU